rnacentral:tRNA from 1 species
CGGGGUGUGGCGCAGCUUGGUAGCGCAUCCGCUUUGGGAGCGGAGGGUCGCAGGUUCGAAUCCUGUCACCCCGA